rnacentral:rRNA from 1 species
UAUUAAUAGAUAAAUCUUUAAACUUAAAGAAUUUGGCGGUAUCUUAUUCUUUUCAGAGGAACCUGCCCCUUAAUCGAUAGUUCACGAUUUAUUCAACUUUUCUUAUUUGUUUGUAUAUCUCCGUUAUCAGAAUAUCUUUUUAGAGUUUAAAUUUUCAUUUUUUUUGAUUAUAAGUUAUUUCAGGUCAAGGUGCAGUUUAUAGUUAAGUGGAGGUGGGUUACAAUAAUUUUUUAUUAUUUACGGGUUUGGGUUGAAAGUUAUUAUUAUUAAGGUGGAUUUGAUAGUAAUUUGAUUUAUUUAGAUCAAUUGAUAUUGGUUCUAGGGUGUGU